CGAGCUACUUGGAACAAAGUAAGUACAUAUUAAAUACAUAUUAAAUGGAUGACACAGCAGAGCUACAUUGGAUAAUAUCUAACAAUAAUCAGCAAAGUAGGUCAUUCCUCUGUUAUUGCUUCUGCUGCCAAUAGUUUGUUCAAUUCUGUUUGCUUUGAAAGGGCUCUUAGCACAUAUUUUUCAAGCCUGACUGUGUUAUAGCUUCUUAUGAAGGCAGCUGAUAUGUAGGGGUAAUCUGCUAGAGGAGACAAGAAGGAAUGGGAUCUCUCAUAGAUGUGGAGGGGUUGGCCUUGGCAACAAGAGGGGUCUCCACAUCAUAUGAGACAAAGGUGAAAGAAGAUAUAAUGUUGAUUGCAUCUGGAUGAUGUGAGAUGAGAAGAGGGAGCUCUUGGUGAAUAAAUAGCCUCAACAUUUAAUGUAAUGGAGGAGGCAAGAUUCUCAGAAGGAAGAAUUGGGAGCAGCAAAUGGAUCAAAGUUUAUAAAGAGGCCAAUUUAGACUUGAUACCAGAAUAAGAAACAGAAAAAAAAACUUUCUAGCAUUUACUUCUAUCAAAAAGUGGAAUAAGAUGCCUCAAGAUGUAAUGGAUUCCCCCCUGUGGAACACAGAAGUCUUCACAUACUUGGGUAUAGACACUACCACACCUCAGAUCACCAACAGAUUUAAAGUCUUUUGGUUACCCUCCACCUGGUUUAGCCUGUCUACUGAAACUGGCAUGUGGCCACCACACAUGCUACGACUUCUUGGUUGA
rnacentral:lncRNA from 1 species